CUAAUAGCAAUGCGGCCACUAACUUCUCUGAUGUUGAGCAAGUUAAUUAACUCCUUCAUCAGUUUCCCCAUCUGUAAAAUUGAGUAAUAAAUCUUAAAAUUCAUUAUUUUAAAGAUAUUAAACGGGUGCUGGCUGUGUCUUUUCCAGCUUGAGUAAUUAUGACAGCUACCAUCUUGGAUGACACACUGGGUACCUGUAGAGCUAAAAGCAUGAACUAAGACCUCAUUGGGUAUUGAGAGAAGACCAUAGGAUUGGGACUGUUGCCAGAGUUCAGUCAUUCAAGCAAAUGUCUGAGAUCUUUAAAGCGACACUAAAUUUGAGCCAGAAUUUGUGGAAUGAAAGUAUUUGUGGUUAAAUGCAAUGGACAUGAUGCUGUUCCUAAGUGAAACCGAAGGCGUUGGUCAGUGGGAAAUUCAGUGAGAGGAAGAGCAGGAUCUUUAUUGAAUGGGGAAGGACUGGA